CACGAUGUGUGCAGUCAAACACAAAAGCAAGAGUAAAGAUAAACAACAAGCACGCCUGUUUGGAGUUGCUUUCCGCAAACGUGGCAAUAUGUGUUUGCAGGGAAAGUUACAACCGGGUCGGCUUCCCGAACCAACGUUUGCGUAAAUUAUAAACAUACUGACAUGAUAUUUCUCCACAACCAAACAAUUGAGUGCGACAAUGUCGGCGCCUUUUUCCGGUGAAUGGGUGGACAUACUGCAGAUUCGUGUCCGAUUUCUGUUCUUAGUCCAAUCUGACAACUAGUCCACCACAUCUGGAGAAGAAAACUAAUCACAACAAAUGAAGUCAGGUGAUGGUACAGAAAAUGAGUCACAAGUUUAGUUUCAUGCCCUAAUGUUGCCCUACUCUUUUAGAUACAUGGGAGUUUGUAUCAUCCUUACAGCCAUGUUCUGUUCUCAAAAGGUUAAAUUAGUAUUGGACAAUCACAUCUAUAUAUCUCCUAUAAGAUAAGUUAGAGAGAACUCCCUCUCUGAAUCAUCAUAAUGGAGAGAGUAGCCCUUGUAGUAUUCUCAUCCUUGCAGUGACUCUCUCGCUUCCCCACCAUUGCAUCAAAUAGAAUUAUCUUUUCUUUCCUUCUCCAUGCGUAUACGGCCACAUAAUAAUAAUAUGUAGAAGGCUUCUAAGGAGCUGCACUUUCCAUCUGCAUUACAGCAAGUACCUAAGGUGCAAAGAAACCUGAGACAAUGGUUGGCCCGGUAAGCACAGGCAGGACGAAAGCGAUGACAAAGGGCUAAUUUACAGUGCGGAUUACCGCGGAGAGUCUACCCAUCCUGCACCAUUACCAAAUCACCCAGAGCCAUAGACAGUACCUGCUUCACUUGUUCCAACACAAUAAUCAAAGAUCACUGCUUGUUAUCCACUCUAUGUAUUCUACUACAUCACGUUAAGGGAUUCACUUACAGCAAUCAUAUUUUACAUGUAAAGAACUAUUAGAAUAGUGAAAGUUAUAAAUUUGCUAUGAAGAACAGCGAGUUAUUGUUGAUUGAACCAAUUCGAAACCACUUUUGUGCAGAAGGAAAGGCUUCUUCUAAGCAUUGGAGCAACACAAGGAGCUUAUUUACAUAAAAUCCAGUUCUCUUCCUUUUCUAGAAAAGAAAGGAGAAAAGCUUAUUUUCAUUA